rnacentral:rRNA from 1 species
AGAGUUUGAUCCUGGCUCAGGAUGAACGCUGGCGGCGUGCCUAACACAUGCAAGUCGAACGAAGCGUUUCGGAGGAAGUUUUCGGAUGGAAUCUGGAAUGACUGAGUGGCGGACGGGUGAGUAACGCGUGGGUAACCUGCCCUGUACUGGGGGACAACAGUUAGAAAUGACUGCUAAUACCGCAUAAGCGCACAGGACCGCAUGGUCCGGUGUGAAAAACUCCGGUGGUACAGGAUGGACCCGCGUCUGAUUAGCCAGUUGGCAGGGUAACGGCCUACCAAAGCAACGAUCAGUAGCCGGCCUGAGAGGGUGGACGGCCACAUUGGGACUGAGACACGGCCCAAACUCCUGCGGGAGGCAGCAGUGGGGGAUAUUGCACAAUGGGGGAAACCCUGAUGCAGCGACGCCGCGUGAGUGAAGGAGCAUUUCGGUGUGUAAAGCUCUAUCAGCAGGGAAGAAGAAUGACGGUACCUGACUAAGAAGCCCCGGCUAACUACGUGCCAGCAGCCGCGGUAAUACGUAGGGGGCAAGCGUUAUCCGGAUUUACUGGGUGUAAAGGGAGCGUAGACGGCAAUGCAAGCCAGAUGUGAAAACCCGCAGCUCAACUGGGGGAGUGCAUUUGGAACUGUGUAGCUGGAGUGCAGGAGAGGUAAGCGGAAUUCCUGGUGUAGCGGUGAAAUGCGUAGAUAUCAGGAGGAACACCAGUGGCGAAGGCGGCUUACUGGACUGUAACUGACGUUGAGGCUCGAAAGCGUGGGGAGCAAACAGGAUUAGAUACCCUGGUAGUCCACGCUGUAAACGAUGAAUACUAGGUGUCGGGGGUU